rnacentral:lncRNA from 1 species
UUUUUAAUAAAGCUUAUCUGAGGAUUCCCUUGGUACCUUUUUAUAUAAAGGUGGAAUCGUUGAUGGUUGAGCCAGAAUCUUUAGACCAUUAUACUAGCCUCGUUAAAGAACUAGGUCACAUUCUAAUAGGUCGUUAGGAUAGGAGAUCUUCUUAUUAUCAUGCGAAUCAAAGUUGUUAGUUAUGGAUGUCAACUAAGGAUCGUGUCC